GACGAACGCUGGCGACGUGCCUAAUACAUGCAAGUUGAGCGCUGAAGGUUGGUACUUGUACCAACUGGAUGAGCAGCGAACGGGUGAGUAACGCGUGGGGAAUCUGCCUUUGAGCGGGGGACAACAUUUGGAAACGAAUGCUAAUACCGCAUAAAAACUUUAAACACAAGUUUUAAGUUUGAAAGAUGCAAUUGCAUCACUCAAAGAUGAUCCCGCGUUGUAUUAGCUAGUUGGUGAGGUAAAGGCUCACCAAGGCGAUGAUACAUAGCCGACCUGAGAGGGUGAUCGGCCACAUUGGGACUGAGACACGGCCCAAACUCCUACGGGAGGCAGCAGUAGGGAAUCUUCGGCAAUGGACGAAAGUCUGACCGAGCAACGCCGCGUGAGUGAAGAAGGUUUUCGGAUCGUAAAACUCUGUUGGUAGAGAAGAACGUUGGUGAGAGUGGAAAGCUCAUCAAGUGACGUAACUACC
rnacentral:rRNA from 1 species